UACGUAGGGUGCGAGCGUUGUCCGGAAUUACUGGGCGUAAAGCGCUCGUAGGUGGUUUGUCGCGUUGUUCGUGAAAACUCACAGCUCAACUGUGGGCGUGCGGGCGAUACGGGCAGACUGGAGUACUGCAGGGGAGACUGGAAUUCCUGGUGUAGCGGUGGAAUGCGCAGAUAUCAGGAGGAACACCGGUGGCGAAGGCGGGUCUCUGGGCAGUAACUGACGCUGAGGAGCGAAAGCGUGGGGAGCGAACAGG
rnacentral:rRNA from 1 species